UACGUAGGGGGCAAGCGUUGUCCGGAAUCAUUGGGCGUAAAGAGCGUGUAGGCGGCUCGGUAAGUCCGCUGUGAAAGUCCAGGGCUCAACCCUGGAAUGCCGGUGGAAACUGUCGAGCUCGAGUCCGGAAGAGGCGAGUGGAAUUCCUGGUGUAGCGGUGAAAUGCGCAGAUAUCAGGAGGAACACCAAUGGCGAAGGCAGCUCGCUGGGACGGUACUGACGCCUGAGACGCGAAAGCGUGGGGAGCAAACAGG
rnacentral:rRNA from 1 species